rnacentral:rRNA from 1 species
CAUUCCGAACUCAGAAGUGAAACGAAAUAGCGCCGAUGGUAGUGUGGGGCUUCCCCAUGUGAGAGUAGGACAUCGCCAGGC